CACGUAGGGGGCGAGCGUUGUCCGGAUUUAUUGGGGGUAAAGAGCUCGUAGGCGGCUCAGUAAGUCAGGUGUGAAAACUCCAGGCUCAACCUGGAGACGCCACCUGAUACUGCUGUGGCUAGAGUCCGGUAGGGGAGCAUGGAAUUCCUGGUGUAGCGGUGAAAUGCGUAGAUAUCUGGAGGAACACCGGUGGCGAAGGCGGCGUUCUGGACUGUUACUGACACUGAGGAACGAAAGCCAGGGGAGCAAACGGG
rnacentral:rRNA from 1 species